CAGUAGCCGCGGUAAUACGUAGGUGGCAAGCGUUGUCCGGAAUUAUUGGGCGUAAAGCGCGCGCAGGCGGAUCAGUUAGUCUGUCUUAAAAGUUCGGGGCUUAACCCCGUGAUGGGAUGGAAACUGCUGAUCUAGAGUAUCGGAGAGGAAAGUGGAAUUCCUAGUGUAGCGGUGAAAUGCGUAGAUAUUAGGAAGAACACCAGUGGCGAAGGCGACUUUCUGGACGAAAACUGACGCUGAGGCGCGAAAGCCAGGGGAGCGAACGGGAUUAGAUACCCCCGUAGUCCCUGUCUCUUAUACA
rnacentral:rRNA from 1 species